rnacentral:rRNA from 1 species
AACGAACGCUGGCGGCAGGCUUAACACAUGCAAGUCGAACGCACUCUUCGGAGUGAGUGGCAGACGGGUGAGUAACGCGUGGGGAUGUACCCAAAGGUACGGAACAACUCCGGGAAACUGGGGCUAAUACCGUAUGUGCCCGAGAGGGGAAAGAUUUAUCGCCUUUGGAUCAACCCGCGUCAGAUUAGCUAGUUGGUAGGUAAUGGCCUACCAAGGCGACGAUCUGUAGCUGGUCUGAGAGGAUGAUCAGCCACACUGGGAC